GGGAUCGGCACGGUACGGAGCGGACCUUUUCCCCGCAGAUGGGACAAGUUGGAACCACGGGACACAGAGAACAGCGCCGAUGGUAUGAGGAGCCCAUAUUGCCUCGGCUGGGAGCCAGCUGUGUCAGGCGCUGUCACGGAGAACGUUUGUGCGAGCUGCGAUGGGACACAGUGAGGCUGUGGACGUGAUAAGAGAUCUCUGCACUGCUGCUUUUCAAUCACAGCCCCGACACUAGACGGAAGAAAAGUCCAUUAUCCACGAUUAAUGUCAGCCGUGUUGCGGAGGCAGCCUCAAGCUGCACCGCCAGAUCUGAGACAACUCAUGGAGGCGUGGCCUCAACGUUUCCAUCGCUGCUGCCACUGACUCCAGCCCAGUGAACAGCGAUGCCUUCUAAAGUCUCCUGCUUAUACUUGCUGACGGUGGUUUGCUGGGCCAGCGCUCUGUGGUACCUGAGUGUGUCCCGCCCCUCCACCUCCUACGUGGGCCAGGUGGCUAUCCCUAUAAAGCCCAAGGCGGGCAAAAACGGCACUUUCACAAACAUCCGCACGCGCUCGCUCAACCCGCACGACUUCGACUACCUCAUUAACGAGGAGAAGAAGUGCGAGGCGGAGCCGCCCUACCUGGUCAUCCUGAUCAGCACCACCCACAAGGAGUUUGACGCCCGGCAGGCUAUCAGGGAGACAUGGGGGGACGAGAGCUCGCUCCCCGACAUGCGAGUGGUCACGCUCUUCUUGUUGGGACGCAGCACUGAUGGUGUCCUCAACCAGAUGGUGGAGCAGGAGAGUCAGAUCUUUCAUGACAUUGUGGUGGAGGAUUUUAUCGACUCCUACCAUAAUCUGACGCUAAAGACGCUGAUGGGCAUGCGCUGGGUGGCCACCUUUUGUUCCAAGGCUCAAUAUGUCCUCAAGACGGACAGCGACAUCUUUGUCAACAUGGAGAACCUCGUCUUCAACCUCCUGAAGCCCACCACCAAGCCCAGGAGGAGGUACUUCACCGGCUACGUCAUCAACGGCGGGCCGAUCAGAGACAUGCGCAGCAAGUGGUACAUGGGCAGGGAUCUGUACCCGGACAGCAAGUACCCCCCCUUCUGCUCCGGCACCGGAUACGUGUUCUCCGCUGACGUGGCGGAGCUCAUUUACCAAACCUCUUUACACACCAGGCUGCUGCACCUGGAGGACGUAUACGUGGGCGUGUGCCUCCGAAAGCUGGGCAUCCACCCCUUCCAGAACAGCGGCUUCAACCACUGGAAGAUGGCCUACAGCCUGUGCCGCUACCGCCGGGUGGUCACCGUCCACCAGAUCUCCCCCGAGGAGAUGCACCGCAUAUGGAACGACAUGACCAGCAAGAAACACCUGAAGUGUUAGCAGGGCUGAGGGAGAGCCAGGGAGGAAAUGAAUGUUCCUUUAUCACCUGCUCCUCCAUCAUCGACUGUGACAAAUACUUCAACAUGUAGCACUGACUGCAGGAGUAUUGAUGGAGCGUCCGGGGCUUUGUCCGGGGGCUGAUUGCUUUACGAGGACUUUCUAUAGCUCAAAGCCACUCUUGUAAGUCUGAUACAUGUUUAUCAAGAAGAGUGCAAACAUGUCCAGGUGGUUAGUUGUCGUUGCCAGCAGCACUAUGAUGUUUAUGGGAAACAGGAAGCUUGUGGGCUUGUGUUGAACUACUCAUUCAUACAAACUUUCCCCAAUUGCAUAAAUGCCAACUUUGAUCGCAGACAUUCGCCUGUUGUGUAGAGCACAGGCUCUAAUUAUGAAUGUUCUCAUGUAUUUUCAGUUGUUGUGCUUUCUGAAGGUGUUAAUGUUGGAUGUACUGUCGGCACUACAGCAGCUGUCGACAUCGUGAGGACCGUGGUGAGUUUAAAGUGGUGUUAAAGACUCUGAGAAAGCAGCUCCUAUGUAAUAUUCCUUUCAGAAUCAGACAUAUUUUCUUACAGAAGAUCCACACCACCUUGUGAAAAGGUUUCCGGACAGUGUGAAGAAACUCGGCUGCUUGCAUUCCCCAGAAACAGCAUCAAUGUGGAUUCUGCUGCAUGCAUAUAAGGAAAGUAAAUGACGCUCAGAGGCGCUUGGUGUACGGCUGUUGAAGAACACGUGGCGUCUCGUCAGUCCUGCUGUUCCUGAAUGCAGCUGCUCGGUGUGAAGAGUGCUGAGGAAACAUGGAGGCCGUGCUCUCCUGCCUGCAGGUGUGUCUCAACCUCCUCGUGACCCGGGCUUUGAGGCACAGAGGACGCAGAACAUAGCUGUGGAAUAAAUUGGCGCUGUGCAAUCUGCCAUCUGUGCAGGCGCAGUUAUACCAAGGUGAAAGAUCCACUCGAAUCAUGAAUUUCUCUAAGAGAGGCCAGAGAAAAGAGCAGUAACAGCGGAGAAAGUCUUUGUUCUGCUGGAAGAGAUUCAAGUUUUCUACAUGGGGCAGAUGUGGCCUCGUCCAGCAGCAGGAUCUUCGGGUCACGUAUGAUCGCCCGGGCGAUGGCGAUGCGCUGCUUCUGACCGCGAGACAGCUGAGAUCCCUGGGCUCCGACGUUCGUCUGGUAUUUCUGAGGCCAGAUGGAAU